UACGUAGGGUGCAGGCGUUAAUCGGAAUUACUGGGCGUAAAGCGUGCGCAGGCGGUUUCUUAAGUCAGAUGUGAAAGCCCCGGGCUUAACCUGGGAACUGCGUUUGAAACUGGGAGACUAGAGUGUGGCAGAGGGGGGUGGAAUUCCACGUGUAGCAGUGAAAUGCGUAGAUAUGUGGAGGAACACCGAUGGCGAAGGCAGCCCCCUGGGCUGAGAUUGACGCUCAGGCACGAAAGCGUGGGGAGCAAACAGG
rnacentral:rRNA from 1 species